AUACUUACCUGGCGUGGAGGUAAACCGUGAUCAUUUAGGCGGUUCCUCCAAGGCGAGAUCUGAUCAUUGCACAUACAGAUUGGGUUGACCCCUGCGAGUAUCCCUAAUGUGGAUAUCUCGGACGUAUAAUUUUUGUUAGCUGGGACUGCGUUCGCGCCGUCCCUGA
rnacentral:snRNA from 1 species